UACGGGGGGGGCAAGCGUUGUUCGGAAUUACUGGGCGUAAAGGGCUCGUAGGCGGCCAACUAAGUCAUACGUGAAAUCCCUCAGCUUAACUGGGGAACUGCGUGUGAUACUGGAUGGCUUGGAUUUGGGAGAGGGAUGCGGAAUUCCAGGUGUAGCGGUGAAAUGCGUAGAUAUCAGGAAGAACACCCGUGGCGAAGGCGGCUCUCUGGUACGUGACUGACGCUGAGACGCGAAAGCGUGGGGAGCGAACAGG
rnacentral:rRNA from 1 species